rnacentral:piRNA from 1 species
UCACAGAGGCAUUUGCCAAGAUCGGC